rnacentral:rRNA from 1 species
GACGAACGCUGGCGGCGUGCUUAACACAUGCAAGUCGAACGGAAAGGCCCUGCUUUUGUGGGGUGCUCGAGUGGCGAACGGGUGAGUAACACGUGAGUAACCUGCCCUUGACUUUGGGAUAACUUCAGGAAACUGGGGCUAAUACCGGAUAGGAGCUCCUGCUGCAUGGUGGGGGUUGGAAAGUUUCGGCGGUUGGGGAUGGACUCGCGGCUUAUCAGCUUGUUGGUGGGGUAGUGGCUUACCAAGGCUUUGACGGGUAGCCGGCCUGAGAGGGUUACCGGCCACAUUGGGACUGAGAUACGGCCCAGACUCCUACGGGAGGCAGCAGUGGGGAAUAUUGCACAAUGGGCGGAAGCCUGAUGCAGCAACGCCGCGUGCGGGAUGACGGCCUUCUGGUUGUAAACCGCUUUCGCCUGUGACGAAGCGUGAGUGACGGUAAUGGGUAAAGAAGCACCGGCUAACUACGUG